UUACGGUCAUAUCACGUUGAAACAUCGAUUCCCAUACGAUCACCAAAGUUAAGCAACCGUGAGUCUGGUUAGUACCUUGAUAGGUAACUGCUUGAGAAUACCAUGUGUUGUG